CAGCCGCCACGGUAAUACGUAGGGUGCAAGCGUUAAUCGGAAUUACUGGGCGUAAAGCGUGCGCAGGCGGUUUUGUAAGACAGAGGUGAAAUCCCCGGGCUCAACCUGGGAACUGCCUUUGUGACUGCAAGGCUAGAGUACGGCAGAGGGGGAUGGAAUUCCGCGUGUAGCAGUGAAAUGCGUAGAUAUGCGGAGGAACACCGAUGGCGAAGGCAAUCCCCUGGGCCUGUACUGACGCUCAUGCACGAAAGCGUGGGGAGCAAACAGGAUUAGAUACCCCUGUAGUCCCUGUCUCUUAUAC
rnacentral:rRNA from 1 species